GAUGAAGAACGCAGCGAAAUGCGAUAGUAAUGUGAAUUGCAGAAUUCAGUGAAUCAUCGAAUCUUUGAACGCACAUUGCGCCCGCCAGCAUUCUGGCGGGCAUGCCUGUUCGAGCGUCAUUUCAACCCUCAAGCUCUGCUUGGUGUUGGGGCCCUACGGUUGACGUAGGCCCUUAAAGGUAGUGGCGGACCCUCUCGGAGCCUCCUUUGCGUAGUAACUAACGUCUCGCAUUGGGAUUCGGAGGGACUCUUGCCGUAAAACCCCCAAAUUUUCUAAUGGUUGACCUCGGAUCAGGUAGGAAUACCCGCUGAACUUAAGCAUAUCAAUAAGCGGAGGA
rnacentral:misc_RNA from 1 species